UACGUAGGGUGCAAGCGUUAUCCGGAAUUAUUGGGCGUAAGGAGCUCGUAGGCGGUUUGUCGCGUCUGCUGUGAAAACCUGGAGGCUCAACCUCCGGACCUGCAGUGGGUACGGGCAGACUAGAGUGCGGUAGGGGAGAUUGGAAUUCCUGGUGUAGCGGUGGAAUGCGCAGAUAUCAGGAGGAACACCAGAGUCGGAGC
rnacentral:rRNA from 1 species